UAGCUCAGUCGGUAGAGCGUCCGCCUCACAACCGGGAGGUCGUGGGUUCGAACCCCGGC
rnacentral:tRNA from 1 species